rnacentral:pre_miRNA from 1 species
UCUUAUGAAUGAACAAAAAAGGUGGUUUCUUGAGAUGUAAUCUACUCCUGGUGAAGAUACUGUGAA